UACGUAGGGGGCAAGCGUUGUCCGGAAUCAUUGGGCGUAAAGAGCGCGUAGGCGGCCAGAUAAGUCCGGUGUGAAAGUCCCAGGCUCAACCUGGGAAUGCCGUCGGAAACUGUCUGGCUAGAGUCCGGAAGGGGCCAGUGGAAUUCCCGGUGGUAGCGGUGAAAUGCGCAGAUAUCGGGAGGAACACCAAUGGCGAAGGCAGCUGGCUGGGACGGUACUGACGCUGAGGCGCGAAAGCGUGGGGAGCAAACAGG
rnacentral:rRNA from 1 species